GUAACUAUGAAACACAACAAUGUGUAAAAACUAACUAGCAAGAGCUUCAUGUUGACUUUUGACAUAAGCUGCCACAUAAUAGGUAUAAGGAAUAGGGAAAAGACAUCUGACAGACAGGUCUAUGUCAGACUGUCUCACAUCACACUGUCCUCUCUGACCGGAUGGGCUCACCUUAGAGGUCGCUUAAACCUGCCUGUCUGGGAAUGUGCGUAUGCCUGUGUGAGCAGUAAAGACAUCUUCAGGACUGACAACUUUCGAAAACUGUCAAUCUGACAUUCACACUUGCUUCACGCAGCAAUCGUCCAGGUAUAGAAGACUCUGUCAAAUGGAUUGACACAUAUUCAGACAAUCAGCUCUUCAACCUCUUCCAAGUGUGGCCAUUUAAAACAGCCAUAAACUCCUUCGACUUUCAACAUGGUGGAAAAACAUGUUGUACAAGAGUUAAAUCUGGGGCAGGUCAACAAUCCCUCCUCGGCUAAAUACCUGGAUCCAGUCAGAAUACCGGACAGUAGAACUGAAGAAGCCUCUUGGAUGAGAUGUGAACAUCUUCAUGAAUCAACCAAGUCCAGUUGCCCCAGAUUUAACUUGUUAGAUAAGAAAGAUGAUGUCGAUAACUGAUAACGUUCACACACGUCAUACGAGCUCUUUCUUUUUGAUCAUACCCCUGGCCUAAUGCUACAGUUAGAUUACAACCAGACUAACUGGUUGAAACAUGACCAAAUGACCUCACAGAGGAGAAUUGGACAUGAGUAUUUCACUAACGUGGCACAGUAUAAAUCGUACAACACUUGAGCCUUUCGGCUAGUGAGCAUGUCCUGACUAAUACAGAUUUUUACAGCUACCCAAUACUCAUAUGGACACAGAACAUGUCUCCCACUCCCCUACACACACCCACACACACACAAGAAACGAAACAGGAAGAAGACAGAGAAGAUGGGAUACUGGGAGGAGGGUAUAAGAGCUCAUGCUCAUUACAAUCAAUUAGGGUCAAGUUGAGAGCAGAGAGGUGGUGGUGAGAGGGGAGGAAGGACGAGGACUAGGGGGUGGCAUCCUAGCAAAUGUGGAAAGAGGGCCAAUUAAAGUGAAAGGAAGGGGAAAUAUGAAUGAUUUAGUGCUUAAACACACAUGGGGACACACACAUAUCUAUGCAAACCAUACAUCUAUCGAAUGUAAUGUCAAGCUUAGUGUAAUCCUACAUGAGUAACUAAAGGAUGUGUAAGUAGACUACAUGAAAGGACCUCUCAGCCCCCCUACAUUAACACUUUGAACUCUGCAGCCCUCGUGCCACAUAUUCACUUCUGUUUGACUC